CUCACUCUUAUAGGAAAGAGAAAUAGACUCUCACUCUUAUAGGAAAUAGAAAUAGACUCUCACUCUUAUAGGAAAGAGAAAUAGACUCUCACUCUUAUAGGAAAUAGAAAUAGACUC